UCGCACGGUGCACCCCGGGCUGUUCCGAAACCCCAUGACGAAGGUAGCCCCAAUGCUCGUGCAAGAGCUAUCGUCCGUUCUGUGUUGCAGUUCUGAUCGUUGUUAAUUUGACAGAUCUGUGUCAAAGCAACGGCUAAAUUU